CGGUUCCCUUUGGCUGUUACGUCUGGAUUACGUCACUCGGAGAAGAGUGGAACGGGGCGGCGUGAGGGGAACCAAUCAACGAGCGGCGGUCUGCCGGAAGAUCACGUCAUCAUUUUUGUUUGUACUUAGGGGACGGUAUAGCAAUUGAAGGAUGUUGCUGGUUUGAUAAAAAAACAUUGGUUUGUAUAGAACACUUGCAAAUAUAUUUUCAGUAAUAAAUGCUAGCUUGCGGCGCAGACCGCUACUGGUAGUUGUAAUUUUAUUUGUGUUGUUUUCUUAUUUAGUCGCUAGGUGGUGUGCCAUACGUUAUGCAAACAAGUUGCCUCGCUUUGUUUACGUUUUGGACUUGCCAGUUAGCGCGCCGAAUCCGAAACUGGGUCCUCAUGUUUGAGCGAGGCCGCGCGAUAUACUCGUGUCAUUUGUUGAAGAGCACCCCUACCUUGCGAAGGCGUCGUGUGUGCUGGGUCAACAGCUGACGGCGGCGCGGAAGGAGGAGCUCUGGCAGCCAGUGACUGCCUUGCUGAAUGCUGAGGGCCCGGCAGUGAAAACUGCAGCCCAAUGGCGCGGCGUGUGGAAGAAAGAUGUGUAUAACGCCCGCCGUGAUGCAGCCGCCUUGCACGCCCAAAGCAGAGGAACCGGAGGAGGCAGCCUGCCCGGACCGCGAGGGCGCGUCCUCUCCCUAGUUGGAAGGGCGAGCGCCAUCGGAGUCUGCCCGCCGUUCUUCGAGCCCGACGAAGAGGUGAACAUCAGCGCAUGGGUUUCAAUAGGUCAACGCCAAGUCGACGCGCUGUCGCGAUUUAUGGCAACACACACGCUUUUAAUUUUUCAACUUUGCCCCGUGCGGUCCGUUUAUGGAACGCACUACCAGAUACCAUUGCAUGCCAAUAUAAACACACUGCAUUUCGCAAUCUGCUAAACGAUCAAUAUGCCGUUUCAACCGUCUAAACACGUCAUGUCUUUUGUAAUUUUCUUGCAUUUUUUCUACAAGUUAAAGAAUUUCAGUGGUCCCAAUUUCUUUACAAUACUUACUACUGUAUAACAUGCAAAAAUGUUUACAAUGUUAUUAUGCUAUUAUGUUGUUGUUUACCAUUUAUUGUUAUUGCUCUACAUAUUGUAUUUGCUAAUGUAAUAAUUUUCCAUGUUCUGUGCGUACUCCUUUCAUUAUGCUGCAGUUUAUUUCUUUCCCGAUUCCAUACUAAUAUGUUACCGUAUUUCCCCAUUUACACUAUACCUUCUCGAAGGCCUGUAAGGUACAUGUAAAUAAAUAAAUAAAUAUUUACAAUGUUUGCAGAUGACUGUAUAGUAUAUAGGGUCAUCAACAGCGAAUCUGACCAAAAAGCACUACAACACGAUUUGGAUUUGAUUGCCAUAUGGUGUGAAAAAUGGAAAAUGUCACUGAAUGAGAAAAAGAGUGUCCACGUCACCUUUACCUGGAAGAGCUCAUACGACAGCAAUCGUAACACUAUAAAUAAUGCUACUCUUGAACAAGUGUCAGAAUAUAAAUACUUAGAUGUAUUUUUUUCUGCUGAUCUAAGGUGGAACAGACACGUUACUCAUGUUACGAACAAGGCUGUCGGAGCAUUAGAUUUUUUGAAACGUAACUUUAGUAGCUUGCCACAGAAACUUAGGGAGCAACUGUAUUUCACACAUGUGCGCAGUACACUGGAGUAUGCGUGUGUUUGCUGGGAUCCAUAUGCUACAGAACUUGUAGAUAAACUAGAAAAAAUGCAGAACAGGGCAGUUCGGUUUGUCCUUGGCAAUUAUGACAGGAUGCUUAGCAUGACAGAAAGCAAAAAAGCAUUAAAUUGGCAUCUUCUUGAACACCGUCGCCGAAAUCUCAGAUUAAAAUUUCUUCAUAACAUAUACCACUCUAAUACGGGGAUAGCCAGGUAAUUGUAUUUUCAGCCGCCCACAUAUGUUUCUAAAAGGCGAGAUCACAAAUUAAAAAUAUGUGAGAUUCCUUUUGACCCUCUAUUGCAUGAAUUAUGAAAGUCAUUUUUUCAGCUUUCAUUAUUGAUUGAAUGAACAAACAUGACUGUAAUAAUAAAGAUAAAGCUUUGUGCCAAAUAUGGCACACCAUGAAGAUGGCUGAGCGCUCUUGCUGCCAUGGGCGGAAAACAAAGCUUCACGGAUGGUGGCCUUUUAAUGUGAUGUGGGGAAUGAAAUGAAACAGUUGUUUGCUGCGUUCAGGCACAGAUGAAUGUUUCACUUCUUCUAUCUUACCAACGACUUGUUUGUGCAAGGUGGCCGCUUACAUCUUUGUUUCUUCUCGUCAAAUUCUGGCCAGUGGCUGACUUGGUCAGAUCGGUCGUCUUUGGGUGGCAUUGCGGCCGCUGGUCCCUGUGCUUUUUUGACUUGAACAUGGAAUUCGAUGUCCUGACUAGAAGUCCUUCCUGGUCGCUAGUUGGGUAGGCACUUGUUAUGCGAGGUAAGGCAUUCUGCAAUUUCUGCUUUUAAUUGAGCCAGCGGUAGUACUUGUCUCCUCCUAAGCUGCUCCUGCACCCUCCUGUACAAUACGCAUGCUGUUAGUACCGAUAAGUCUAGCAUAGGCGUAAAAAUUCGAAAGUGCCAUUUCUUCGACAUCUGAUAUGUAUGCAGUAAAGUCCAAACAGAGAGUCCAGCAGGUCGACACCACCCAUGUGCCUGUUAUGGACCUUUACUACUCUGGGGCAAUCAAUUUCGCGAAACACCUUGGCGGAGGUAAACCAGCGCUGAGUCUUUUGGACUGGAUCUCUCCCAUCAAAGCUCGACAGAAAUGUCACGGCGCGGUUGUCGUAUCAACGCACACACGAUAACUCUACGUCAUCUAUCGCGCUUGUGAGUGCCUCUGAAGCACCACUUCCUUUACAUUUCAGUUCCUUUUCACUUUUCAGGCGGCUGUUUGGUAGACAAUUCGCCCUCACCGUACCGAUCGUCAAAAUUACAUCUUGUGAUAGAGUGACCUGCAGCUUCGGGCUAUUGAACAGAUGGCAGCACGUUACCAUAUGUUGUAUUUCAAGUUCAUACUGUGCCAAAUAUGGCACACACCGAUUUCGGUUUCUCUGCUGUAGUUGCAGGCAAAAUUGAGAAAACUAGUAACUGCCUUGAAUUGGCGAGGCCAAAAAAUAUGCCAAAAUAAUUUUUCUACGUUUCUGCGGUCGAACUUUUCAGAGAAAAAAAAAAACCAAUUGCUCGUGUUUGCCCCCUCCGAGUUUCACGUCGCAUCCCAAAAUCUACUUCACCUCUGUUUUGCGUAUCACUCAAGAGAUGGCAGCACUUGCCCAUAAUAAGUGCGCAUAACUACGAGAUUUACUCUGACGGUAUCACAUUCUCAACUGGGAAUCUCACACAUGCGAAAAAGAAUGGUAACCGGUAUGUGCCAAAUAUGGGACGCCAUGCAAUAGAGGGUUAAAAGUGACGCUUUCCGCUACUCUUUCUAUGUUCGUACUAUAAGAGACUGGAAUACUCUACCACCUGACACUGUCUGUAUUUGUUCAAAUGAUGAUUUCUUCCAUGCUUUAUGAGUGUAAUUCUGAGUGUUCAUUUAUAUGAGUUGUACCCUCCCUGCUGUAAUGCCUGAAUGGCGAAGCAGGUACCCAAUGAAUAAAAUGAAUAAAUAAAGAAAUGUUUCAUUGUCACGAUUUUGUUUACAUUGUUGCACCUUGUUAAGCAGCAAUUACGAGCAUUAUGUGAAAUCAUGUGUGCAAGAAAUGCAAUGUUGAAGCAACUCUUGAGUUUAAACAAAGCAGUAGUAAGCAUGAGUGUCUGCUAUUUAACGAAAUCCUGCUCCAAUAAGUGCUUGACAUGUCUCGUUUGUUGCUAUACGUUUCAAUAUGUGCUAUACAGAUUGCUGACGACAUUUCAGUUGCUGUGUAACUCGUGCUGCUCUUGCGUGUCACACAUGAACAGACAUCUUCAGCUUUGGAACAAUGCAUACUGCACAGUAAAAUAGGCAUUGCAAAGCAAUAUUCAACAAUGCAAGAUUGGUUGCCAUUCACCUUGGAAAUAACCUUUAUUUAAAGAAAAUUCCCUGGCGAGACAAUAUUCAAAAGCACAGUGAACAAAGCAAAGGAGUAACAUAAUGGCACAUGGUUAUUUGUCACUGCAUGUGCAUCUGUCAUGCUCAACAUAGACAAAUCAUGUGCUUUCCACUACUGCAGUAUGCAGCAUACUAUGAUUAGCCACAUGUGAGCACACGCAAUGUGUUAUGUUGAAGUGCACGGCCUAUUUACUUUUAUGAUAAUAAAAAUAAAACAUGUUACACCA